rnacentral:rRNA from 1 species
GACGAACGCUGGCGGCGUGCUUAACACAUGCGAGUCGAACGGAAAGGCCCUGCUUUUGUGGGGUGCUCGAGUGGCGAACGGGUGAGUAACACGUGAGUAACCUGCCCUUGACUUUGGGAUAACUUCAGGAAACUGGGGCUAAUACCGGAUAGGAGCUCCUGCUGCAUGGUGGGGGUUGGAAAGUUUCGGCGGUUGGGGAUGGACUCGCGGCUUAUCAGCUUGUUGGUGGGGUAGUGGCUUACCAAGGCUUUGACGGGUAGCCGGCCUGAGAGGGUGACCGGCCACAUUGGGACUGAGAUACGGCCCAGACUCCUACGGGAGGCAGCAGUGGGGAAUAUUGCACAAUGGGCGGAAGCCUGAUGCAGCAACGCCGCGUGCGGGAUGACGGCCUUCGGGUUGUAAACCGCUUUCGCCUGUGACGAAGCGUGAGUGACGGUAAUGGGUAAAGAAGUACCGGCUAACUACGUG